GCGAACCCCGCCCCUUCCGCUUCGUGGCUCUGAGAGCAACACAGAGGGCGUUUAAUAUCGAGGCCGCAACUACAAUUCAGACUGGGCAUGCCCUGCACCUACUUUGCCUCGCCUCACCCAUCUAUAAUCCUUCCAAUCAAGAGUUCCCUUCUGGCGCAGCGGUUUAAGGGAUAAAAUAUGUCAUUGAAGCGGCUCAGGUCACUGCUGUGGGUCUGGUUCCAUUUUGGGCCCAGAAACUUACUCAUGCUGCUUGCAAGCCCCCUCCCCCCACUCCAAAAAAAAAA